rnacentral:rRNA from 1 species
AACGCGAAGAACCUUACCUACCCUUGACAUGCCAGGAACUUGCCAGAGAUGGCUUGGUGCUCGAAAGAGAGCCUGGACACAGGUGCUGCAUGGCUGUCGUCAGCUCGUGUCGUGAGAUGUUGGGUUAAGUCCCGCAACGAGCGCAACCCUUGUCAUUAGUUGCCAUCAUUAAGUUGGGCACUCUAAUGAGACUGCCGGUGAUAAACCGGAGGAAGGUGGGGAUGACGUCAAGUCCUCAUGGCCCUUAUGGGUAGGGCUUCACACGUCAUACAAUGGUCGGUACAGAGGGUUGCCAAGCCGCGAGGUGGAGCCAAUCCCAGAAAGCCGAUCGUAGUCCGGAUUGGAGUCUGCAACUCGACCCCCGUGAAGUCGGAGUCGCUAGUAAUCGUAGAUCAGUAACGCUGCGGUGAAUACGUUCCCGGGUCUUGUACACACCG